UAGUGAAGGCGCGGCCAGUGGCGGACGGGCGAGUAACGCGUGGGCAACCUGCCGCGCACAGGGGGACAACGGCCGGAAACGGCCGCUAAUACCGCAUAUUCCCGCGGGGCCGCAUGGCCCUGCGGGGAAAGCCCGGGGCGACCCGGACGGUGCGCGAUGGGCCCGCGUCCGAUUAGCUUGUUGGCGGGGCAGCGGCCCACCAAGGCGACGAUCGGUAGCCGGCCUGAGAGGGCGGACGGCCACACUGGGACUGAGACACGGCCCAGACUCCUGCGGGAGGCAGCAGUGGGGAAUAUUGCACAAUGGGGGGAACCCUGAUGCAGCGACGCCGCGUGGGUGAAGGAGCACCUCGGUGCGUAAAGCCCUAUCGGCAGGGAAGAAACAGACGGUACCUGACUAAGAAGCCCCGGCUAACUACGUGCCAGCAGCCGCGGUAAUACGUAGGGGGCAAGCGUUAUCCGGAUUCACUGGGUGUAAAGGGAGCGUAGACGGCGACGCAAGUCUGGAGUGAAAGCCCGGGGCCCAACCCCGGGACUGCUCUGGAAACUGCGGCGCUGGAGUACGGGAGGGGCAGGCGGAAUUCCUGGUGUAGCGGUGAAAUGCGUAGAUAUCAGGAGGAACACCGGCGGCGAAGGCGGCCCGCUGGACCGUGACUG
rnacentral:rRNA from 1 species